UGGGGAAUUUUGGACAAUGGGCGCAAGCCUGAUCCAGCCAUGCCGCGUGCGGGAAGAAGGCCUUCGGGUUGUAAACCGCUUUUGUCAGGGAAGAAAUCUUCUGAGUUAAUACCUCGGGAGGAUGACGGUACCUGAAGAAUAAGCACCGGCUAACUACGUGCCAGCAGCCGCGGUAAUACGUAAGGUGCAAGCGUUAAUCGGAAUUACUGGGCGUAAAGCGUGCGCAGGCGGUUUUGUAAGACAGAGGUGAAAUCCCCGGGCUCAACCUGGGAUCUGCCUUUGUGACUGCAAGGCUUGAGUGCGGCAGAGGGGGGAUGGAAUUCCGCGUGUAGCAGUGAAUGCGUAGAUAUGCGGAGGAACACCGAUGGCGAAGGCAAUCCCCUGGGCCUGCACUGACGCUCAUGCACGAAAGCGUGGGGAGCAAACAGGAUUAGAUACCCUGGUAGUCCACGCCCUAAACGAUGUCAACUGGUUGUUGGGAAGGUUCCUUCUCAGUAACGUAGCUAACGCGUGAAGUUGACCGCCUGGGGAGUACGGCCGCAAGGUUG
rnacentral:rRNA from 1 species